rnacentral:tRNA from 4 species
UCGGGAUAGCUCAGCUGGUAGAG